CCUACGGGAGGCAGCAGUGAGGAAUAUUGGUCAAUGGACGAGAGUCUGAACCAGCCAAGUAGCGUGAAGGAUGACUGCCCUAUGGGUUGUAAACUUCUUUUAUAUGGGAAUAAAACGUUCCACGUGUGGGAUUUUGUAUGUACCAUAUGAAUAAGGAUCGGCUACUCCGUGCCAGCAGCCGCGGUAAUACGGAGGAUCCGAGCGUUAUCCGGAUUUAUUGGGUUUAAAGGGAGCGUAGGUGGAUUGUUAAGUCAGUUGUGAAAGUUGGCGGCUCAACCGUAAAAGUGCAGUUGAAACUGGCAGUCUUGAGUACAGUAGAGGUGGGCGGAAUUCGUGGUGUAGCGGUGAAAUGCUUAGAUAUCACGAAGAACUCCGAUUUCGAAGGCAGUUCACUGGACUGCAACUGACACUGAGGCUCGAAAGUGUGGGUAUCAAACAGGAUUAGAUACCCCGGUAGUC
rnacentral:rRNA from 1 species